CCUAUUGAAAGCUAUAACAUUUUCUUAUACCCUGUAUAAGUUUUAUGUUAUGGUGAAAAAGUAUAAGUUUUAACUAAUAUACUACAUAAGGUUCUGCUUUGAAAAUUUAUUCCAAUACAAACAAAUGUUGCCGCCGUUAAUUCAACGUCCUUCCUUAGCCAUUGAUUGUGAUCAUCACUUUGUUUCGGCACGAAAAGAAAUGUGUGUUUUCUUGCUCAGCUCAGCAAAUGGCAGAGCAAAUUGCGCGAAAAUCGAGUACUUGAAGAUCACGAGUAUCCUCCAUCCCCGAAAAAAAGCCAUCAGCCUGGAACACGAUCCCGAGAAAGUUCCCGUCGCAAUACAUAUUCCGGUAUUCUAGUUCCUUGAUAUGGGCAAGGAUUUGGGGGCGCAACUAGAGAGCCAUCUUCGUCAUGGUUAUUGCCAUCUCGAGAGCGGCUCAGCCUUCAGGAUCAUGAAUUUACGCCGGAGAGCGGAAAAGGGUCGUCAACUGCACCGCAUUGGGAUCUGGUAGAAGUUCAGCUGCAGUGGGAGCAAAAGGCAGUGCAAUGCUACCACAAACUCAUUAUAACAAAUAAGUUUGUGAUGCUACAGGAAAAGAUGACUUCGCAGUGUGGAGCUGAUGUGGGAGGGUCGUGGAGCAUAUUCAGGUUCGUUUAGUUUAGCCUCUAAGUGGUAAUGGUGAUUUAACCGAUGAAAUAAAACUAUUCUUAUUGAUACCAA